rnacentral:rRNA from 1 species
UACGUAGGAUGCAAGCGUUGUCCGGAAUUAUUGGGCGUAAAGCGAACGUAGGCGGUUUCUUAAGUUUGUGCUUAAAGACCAGGGCUCAACCCUGGGAGUGGCAUGAAUACUGGGAGACUGGAGGAUGUCAGAGGAAAGUGGAAUUCCUAGUGUAGCGGUGAAAUGCGCAGAUAAUCUGGAGGCAACACCGGUGGCGAAGGCGACCCUCUGGACGGACACU